GAUGAACGCUGGCGGCGUGCUUAACACAUGCAAGUCGAACGGGAAACCUUUUAUUGAAGCUUCGGCAGAUUUAGCUGGUUUCUAGUGGCGGACGGGUGAGUAACGCGUGGGUACCCUGCCUUAUACAGGGGGAUAACAACCAGAAAUGGUUGCUAAUACCGCAUAAGCGCACAGGACCGCAUGGUCCGGUGGGUAAAACUCCGGUGGUGUAAGAUGGACCCGCGUUGGAUUAGCUAGUUGGCGGGGUAACGGCCUACCAAGGCGACGAUCCAUAGCCGGACAGAGAGGGUGAACGGCCACAUUGGGACUGAGGCAAGGCCCAGGCUCCGACGGGAGGAAGCAGUGGGGAAUAUUGCACAAUGGGGGAAACCCUGAUGCAGCGACGCCGCGUGAAGGAAGAAGUAUCUCGGUAUGUAAACUUCUAUCAGCAGGGAAGAUAGUGACGGUACCUGACGAAGAAGCCCCGGCUAACUACGUG
rnacentral:rRNA from 1 species